AAGAUAGAAGAUAAGAAAGACGAUGAUAAAAGGGACGACGAGAAAAAAAAGGACAACGAGAAGAAAAAAGAGAAGAAGGACGACGAGAAGAAAAAGAGUAAGAAAGGUGGUGAUAAGGAUGACGAUGAGAAAAAGGAAAAGAAAGAUAAGAAGAAGGACAAAAAGGAUGAUAAAGACGAGAAGGACGAGAAAAAGAAAAAGAAGAGUGAGAAGGAUGAUGAUGAUGAGAAGGAUGACAAGAAGAAGGAGAAGAAGGAUGAGAAGAAAAAGAAGGAAAAGAAGGACGGCGAUAAAAAUGAAAAGAAAAAUGAUGAGGAGAAGAAAGAUAAGAAGAAGAAGGACA
rnacentral:lncRNA from 1 species